ACCCCGGCGUCCAAGAUCCCCCUCAAACCACUGCACCCCGUUACUCCCCUCCAGUGAUUUCCCUACACCCCCCCUGAAUUUCCCCAACGCCACCCCCAGUUUUGUGAACUAGUUACAUGCCAAUUUAGUGACUGUUUGGAAAUUUGAAUUGAAAUGGAAACAUUAGUAGACCCUUUAAAAGCAAACACAGUGUACGAUAAACGACGCGUAGCUGGCAAAGUAUCGUAGAUGGGAGAAGUGGGAACACAGACUAGCUUCCUUGUCCAGCUGUUCAUGGCCAUGUCGGGGCCGCCAUGUCGGCGAUGUUGGCGGACCUAAUCGUUUCAAAUGACGAUUUGUGAGCAGAGUCGAAAGGAGCUCUCCCUGACAGCCAGUGACGGGCUGGGGGGAAAGGCUCCAGGACCAGGCUGUAUUUACAUCCACACCUCACCUACCCAGGUAGCCAGCAAACAGAGCUGCCUUGCCCGAGCGAUAGAUUUGGGCUGGGGUUCGGUUACAAAUCACUUGAAUGGGGGCGGGGGCGGGGGGGAUGAAAUGUUGUUGUUCUUAUUGUCGGAGUAAAGGGCAGUAGAACGGGACUUAGGGCAUGGCGAGAGAGGGUGGGGACGGGUGUUUUGCUUGAUGGUCUUGUCUAGUCACAAGUACGAUUGGACCUGCCCCUCUCCACUGUUUAAAGACAGAGCUGAUCGGGCUCCAUAGAGAGUCUUUUGUUCUGUUCAGUGACCACUGCAGCUGAAAUCACUGAGAAUCAGGUCUAAGCGCUCUGGCCGGCGGUGGGACAGGGUUUCUUGGCAGAGACGGCCCAGUCUGCACUCGCAGCGAGGUCCCCCCCCCCCCCCGAGAGCUCGGCUGAAGUCACGGAGAGCCGGUGGGACCUCAAGAGACCGACUCGCAGAGGUCUCAGGGGCAGGUGGCAGCCGAAGGUGACGGCGCAGGGCCAUUGGCAACCAAGCGACGGAGUGAACGGUGGCACAACGAACAGCUGUGGCCAGAGCGAACCGUGAGCAGCUGGAGGAAUGAGCAAGGGGCCUUCUUGCCCCCACCUGGGAGGUGAACUCACGUGAAAGCACCUCUGAACUCUGAGUCUCCACUGACCAAGGACAACACCGGUCAAAGUGAAAAUGAAAAGACAAAAAACAAUACAACAAUUUUUCCACGCGAAGGCCUCAAAAACUAACCUAGGUGAAGAACACGUCAAGAACCAAGAACAUCUCAACAUGUCGUCUGAAGGGUCAAGUGGUGGAUCUACAUCCAACCAGCCCAAAUACAGCUGCCUACUGAAGAAACAGAGUCUCCAAAACCUAAAGGCAGUUUCCGAUGUUUGUCGGUCAAAGUGUUCCCAUUUAUUGAAGUUACAAAAGAUGGCUACUGGUGCACCUCUUGCAAAAAAACUUACGAAGAAGGAAAGCUUCCCAAUGCUAUCAUUGGUAAAAGUGGAGGAGCUUGGUUUGUCAGGCCGAUCAGCAAAGCCAAUGCUGACAAACUACGUGAAAAGGCAGC